rnacentral:rRNA from 1 species
UUGGAGGGCAAGUCUGGUGCCAGCAGCCGCGGUAAUUCCAGCUCCAAUAGCGUAUAUUAAAGUUGUUGCAGUUAAAAAGCUCGUAGUUGAAUUUCGGGAUUAGUGCGCCGGUCGUGCCUUCGGUAUGUACUGGUGUUACUGAUUCCUACCUUCUGACGAACCGUCAUGUCAUUAAUUUGGUGUGGCGGGGAAUCAGGACUGUUACUUUGAAAAAAUUAGAGUGUUUAAAGCAGGCUCGCGCUUGAAUACAUUAGCAUGGAAUAAUGAAAUAGGACGUUCGAUCCUAUUUUGUUGGUUUCUAGGAUUGACGUAAUGAUUAAUAGGGAUAGUUGGGGGCAUUAGUAUUCAAUUGUCAGAGGUGAAAUUCUUGGAUUUAUUGAAGACUAACUACUGCGAAAGCAUUUGCCAAGGAUGUUUUCAUUAAUCAAGAACGAAAGUUAGGGGAUCGAAGACGAUCAGAUACCGUCGUAGUCUUAACCAUAAACUAUGCCGACUAGGGAUCGGAUGAUGUUAAUUUUUUAAUGACUCAUUCGGCGCCUUACGGGAAAC